GACGAACGCUGGCGGCGUGCUUAACACAUGCAAGUCGAACGGAAAGGCCCUGCUUUUGUGGGGUGCUCGAGUGGCGAACGGGUGAGUAACACGUGAGUAACCUGCCCUUGACUUUGGGAUAACUUCAGGAAACUGGGGCUAAUACCGGAUAGGAGCUCCUGCUGCAUGGUGGGGGUUGGAAAGUUUCGGCGGUUGGGGAUGGACUCGCGGCUUAUCAGCUUGUUGGUGGGGUAGUGGCUUACCAAGGCUUUGACGGGUAGCCGGCCUGAGAGGGUGACCGGCCAAAUGGGGACUGAGAUACGGCCCAGACUCCUACGGGAGGCAGAAGUGGGGAAUAUUGCACAAGGGGCGGAAGCCUGAGGCAGCAACGCCGCGUGCGGGAUGACGGCCUUCGGGUUGUAAACCGCUUUCGCCUGUGCCGAAGCGUGAGUGACGGUAAUGGUAAAGAAGCACCGGCUAACUACGUG
rnacentral:rRNA from 1 species